rnacentral:tRNA from 1 species
GGGUGGGUGAGCUCAGUUGUUAAAGCCUAGGUCUUGUGACCCGAAGGUCCCGGGAUCGAAUCUCGUCAGAGGUA